rnacentral:rRNA from 1 species
AGCAUACAUGGCGUACUGCUCAGUAACACGUGGACAACCUGCCCUUAGGUCGGGUAUAAACCCGGGAAACUGGGUAUAAUCCCCGAUAGGUCUCGGCUGCUGGAAUGCAUCGAGAUUAAAAGCUCCGGCGCCUAAGGAUGGGUCUGCGGCCUAUCAGGUAGUAGUGGGUGUAGUGUACCUACUAGCCUACGACGGGUACGGGUUGUGAGAGCAAGAGCCCGGGGAUGGAUUCUGAGACACGAAUCCAGGCCCUACGGGGUGCAGCAGGCGCGAAAACUUUACAAUGCUGGCAACAGCGAUAAGGGAACCUCGAGUGCCAGGUUACAAAUCUGGCUGUCGAGAUGCCUAAAAAGCAUUUCAUAGCAAGGGCCGGGCAAGACCGGUGCCAGCCGCCGCGGUAACACCGGCGGCUCGAGUGGUAACCGUUAUUAUUGGGUCUAAAGGGUCUGUAGCCGGCCGGAUAAGUCUCUUGAGAAAUCUGGCAGCUUAACUGUCAGGCUUUCAGGAGACACUGUCUGGCUCGAGGCCGGGAGAGGUGAGAGGUACUUCAGGGGUAGGGGUGAAAUCUUGUAAUCCUUGAAGGACCACCAGUGGCGAAGGCGUCUCACCAGAACGGACCUGACGGCAAGGGACGAAAGCUAGGGGCACGAACCGGAUUAGAUACCCGGGUAGUCCUAGCCGUAAACGAUACUCGCUAGGUGUCGGCCACGGUGCGACCGUUGUCGGUGCCGUAGGGAAGCCGUGAAGCGAGCCACCUGGGAAGUACGGCCGCAAGGCUGAAACUUAAAGGAAUUGGCGGGGGAGCACCACAACGGGUGGAGCUUGCGGUUUAAUUGGAGUCAACGCCGGG